rnacentral:rRNA from 1 species
AGGACUAACGCUGGCGGCGUGCCUAACACAUGCAAGUCGAACGAGAGUAGCAAUACUCUAGUGGCAGACGGGUGAGUAACACGUGGUCAACCUACCUUUAAGUGGGGGAUAACUAGCCGAAAGGUUAGCUAAUACCGCAUACGAUCUUCGCGUGGCAUCACACGAAGAUGAAAGGAGCAAUCCGCUGAAAAAGACGGGACCGCGUCCCAUUAGCUAGAUGGUGGGGUAACGGCCUACCAUGGCGACGAUGGGUAGCUGGCUUGAGAGAGCGACCAGCCACACUGGGACUGAGACACGGCCCAGACUCCUACGGGAGGCAGCAGUGAGGAAUUUUCCGCAAUGGGCGAAA